CUACGGGCGGCUCCAGUGGGAAUAUUGCACAAUGGAGGAAACUCUGAUGCAGCAACGCCGCGUGGAGGAUGACACUUUUCGGAGCGUAAACUCCUUUUAUAUAGGAAGAAGAUGACGGUACUAUAUGAAUAAGCGCCGGCUAACUCCGUGCCAGCAGCCGCGGUAAUACGGAGGGCGCAAGCGUUACUCGGAAUCACUGGGCGUAAAGAGCGUGUAGGCGGAUUAAAAAGUCAGAAGUGAAAUCCUAUAGCUUAACUAUAGAACUGCUUCUGAAACUCUUAAUCUAGAAUAUGGGAGAGGUAGAUGGAAUUUCUGGUGUAGGGGUAAAAUCCGUAGAGAUCAGAAGGAAUACCGAUUGCGAAGGCGAUCUACUAGAACAUUAUUGACGCUGAGACGCGAAAGCGUGGGGAGCAAACAGGAUUAGAUACCCUAGUAGUC
rnacentral:rRNA from 1 species